rnacentral:rRNA from 1 species
GACGAACGCUGGCGGCGUGCCUAAUACAUGCAAGUCGAGCGAAGUUUUUCUGGUGCUUGCACUAGAAAAACUUAGCGGCGAACGGGUGAGUAACACGUAAAGAACCUGCCUCAUAGACGGGGACAACUAUUGGAAACGAUAGCUAAUACCGGAUAACAGCAUAAAUCGCAUGAUAUAUGUUUAAAAGUUGGUUUCGGCUAACACUAUGAGAUGGCUUUGCGGUGCAUUAGCUAGUUGGUGGGGUAAAGGCCUACCAAGGCGACGAUGCAUAGCCGACCUGAGAGGGUGAUCGGCCACACUGGGACUGAGACACGGCCCAGACUCCUACGGGAGGCAGCAGUAGGGAAUCUUCCGCAAUGGGCGAAAGCCUGACGGAGCAACGCCGCGUGAGUGAAGAAGGAUUUCGGUUCGUAAAGCUCUGUUGUUAGGGAAGAAUGUAUGUAUAGUAACUAUAUACAGUAGAGACGGUACCUAACCAGAAAG